rnacentral:sRNA from 1 species
AGGUUCAAGGACUGUUAAUGGUUUGUAACUGCCUGACAAUAAGCUCAACCUCAGUUACAUCAGCCUGGGCAGAUGUCUAAGGAUAUGAGACCGGGGGAAGAAAAAGUUAGAAUCUGUAGCAGAAGGACGAAGCUUGCCACCUGCCUACUGGGCUGAGCUUUUAAUGUGAUUUACAUUUCUAAGCUCUAUGUAGGUGCCCUGGAAAUGGUGGUCUUCAUUAAUGCAAAGAUUAAGUCUUUAAUUAAACUUUUUAAGAAGAAAACGGUUUCCAACCUAGAUGAGGAAAGCCGAUGGACAGUCCACUACACUGCCCCGUGGCACCAGCAGGAGAAUGUGUUCCUUCCCACCACAAGACCCCCCUGCGUUGAGGACCUGCACCGCCAAGCCAAGCUCAACCUCAAAUCAGUACUGAGGGAAUGCGAUAAGUUGCGGCAUGAUGGCUACCGCAGUUCUCAGUACUACUCUCAGGGACCCACCUUUGCGGCCAACGCCAGCCCAUUCUGUGAUGUUUACCAAGACGAAGAUGAAGAAACAGAUCAAAAGUGUUCUCUGUCUUCAUCAGAAGAAGAAAGAUUUAUUUCCAUCAGGAGACCUAAAACACCAACCUCAAGUGACUUCUCCGACCUUAAUACUCAGACGAACUGGACCAAGUCGCUUCCACUGCCAACACCAGAAGAGAAGAUGCGACAGCAAGCCCAAACAGUCCAGGCUGACGUGGUGCCUAUUAACAUAACUGGUACGCUUUGCUAGCCAGACAGGUUCAGAAUGUACUUGGGAGAAUGACUACAGCUUUUUGUUAUAUGCUGUUAGCAUUUCAUUGCUUCAUCAAAGGUGAAUAGCUGUGGUCCAACUUCAUGCUCUUUGUUUAAUGAGAGGAAUAUUAAAACUACAUAUGUGUGUGCAUAUAAAAUGUCUACUGCUUGUUGGGUUCGAAGACUAUGUCGCCA